rnacentral:lncRNA from 1 species
GCGGGGCGGAGUCAGGGUAGAGGCCCCCGCCGAGAAAGGGGAGAAAGAGGCGGGCCCUGAGAAUUGGCUCGAGCGCGAAGGGUCAUCUCUGAACUCUGAGACCCUGAGCAGCAGGAAGAUGGUGAAUAAAUGCAAGCCCCAGCUAUACAAUUACAACCUAGCCUGAGAGGAGGAAGAGGCCAGGAGGUGCAACUUCAGGUCCCAGGCGCCUCGCAACCAGCUUGCUCAUCUCAGGGUCCGCGAGACUGGGAUUUACACAAGCAGCACAGCAGAGGCACUCACUGAACAAAGCCCAUAGGGGUCCCUGCCUGGUCCUCACCAUGCCCGAUAGCUUUGAUCUCCACUG